GGAUGUGAGAGAGAGAAGCUCUGUAUGUCUAUCUGUCUGUCUGUGUCUGAGUGAGUGAGUCAAGUGGUGGGUCCAGUGUCAGUGCGAUCCAUUGGGGUUGACCACCUCAAAGACUACUGAUGUCAGGGGACCCUCAGAGAACCCUCCUGGACUGAGAGAGUUAUUUUUCUCCCCUCCUCUUCACUCCCCUCUCUCUUUAACUAGAAAGAGACCUGCCCUGUAUGUGCCCCCAGAAAAGACACAAACAGCAUCACAAAAGAGAGGGAGUCAUGGGAGAGAAAGAGAGAGUGGGUGAUAGAGCGAGGGGCAUUGUGGGGUAUUGGUGAGGUGGAGGUGAAUAACUAUUAGCAUUCCCCUUUGGUUAACCCUGCGCUGUGUGAAAUAUCACCACGAUGAGCACUCUUCAUUGAAGAAGCCCCGCGCUGACAAGCCAAGAGGAGGGUGCCUUUUGAACAGGGUCCAGGGGUUGCCAUGGCAAUGCCUGUCAACCGGGAAGUCCUUCACAGGAGGAGGUAGUCCAGAGAAAGAGAGCGAGAGAGGGAGGCAGUGAGUGAGCGAGGUAGUAGAGAGGGACUGCCCACAACAUAUUGGGCUUACAUGCAUCACGGAGAAGAUAGAACUUUGAGAGGUGUGUUGUUCCCUGGGAUUCUUUAUCAGAGGUGGAUACUUUGGCAUCUGCACAAAGACUUGGACGUCAGAGACUAUCCAGGACCAUAACAGAUGACAUGAAGUCUCAGGUACAGGCAUUUUGGCAUGCUCCCUAACUCACAAAUAAUUCAAAAUGUAAGAGCACAGGAAGAGAGCUAGAUCCUUAGUAGAAUUGAAUUCUAUGAAAUAAUAUAUUCAGGCAGACCCAAAGCAUUGAAGGUUUGCUAGAGAUGUUAAAAACAAAAAGAUUUUGCUCUGUCAGAGCCAAUAAUUCUUAUCUUUGAAGUCUGCCUUGGCAGAGUUGGCAUGAACAGCACACAGAGGGAGGCCUUUUAAAUAUGCUAAACAACAAGGAAAAACACUAACACGUACAAGGUAGAAUGAAAAUAACAGCUAUUUAUGGACGGGCUAGAAUUUCCAUGAAAAUGCCCCAGUCCUGGCUCCACAAGGCAGCGCUCUGAUUUAACUAGAUACAGUUUCACCCUGUGU
rnacentral:lncRNA from 8 species